rnacentral:rRNA from 1 species
AGUGAACGCUGGCGGUAGGCCUAACACAUGCAAGUCGAACGGCAGCACAGUAAGAGCUUGCUCUUACGGGUGGCGAGUGGCGGACGGGUGAGGAAUACAUCGGAAUCUACCUUUUCGUGGGGGAUAACGUAGGGAAACUUACGCUAAUACCGCAUACGACCUACGGGUGAAAGCAGGGGAUCUUCGGACCUUGCGCGAUUGAAUGAGCCGAUGUCGGAUUAGCUAGUUGGCGGGGUAAAGGCCCACCAAGGCGACGAUCCGUAGCUGGUCUGAGAGGAUGAUCAGCCACACUGGAACUGAGACACGGUCCAGACUCCUACGGGAGGCAGCAGUGGGAAUAUUGGACAAUGGGCGCAAGCCUGAUCCAGCCAUACCGCGUGGGUGAAGAAGGCCUUCGGGUUGUAAAGCCCUUUUGUUGGGAAAGAAAAGCAGCAGGUUAAUACCCCGCUGUUCUGACGGUACCCAAAGAAUAAGCACCGGCUAACUUCGUG